rnacentral:misc_RNA from 1 species
UUUUUUUUUUUUUUUUUUUGAAAAGCACAAUACAGAAUUCUUAAAAAAUAAACUAAAUCCAUUAUUCACCUUGUCUCAAGUAUUACUUUUGCUCAUACAAGAAGUAAUAACAUGGUAUGAGAACAAAAGAUUUGAGAGAGAUACAAGGGAAAUCAAGAUAAACUCGAGCAAGACAGGGAAAUUUCACCCCCUGCAGCUCAACCAGACACUGAAAUUAUCAAAAGCCUCAACAUUGUAUCUUACAAAAUGCUUCCUAUAGCGAUGGCCACCUCCAAUUGUCUAUAUCUAAAAAUUCUGAUACUAAGAGUUUACACCUUUUGACUAUGAUACCUAAAGCUUUGAUGAAAGAAAUGUAUCAUAGGGCACCAGAGGUAUGCCUCCCAACUUCGAAGUAAACAAAAUCUUCAAAUUCAACCUUUUGGCAGCUAAAGCAAACUUUUACAGCAUUCUCUGUCAAUGCUGCUCCUACUCGAUUGUAAUCAGAAAACCUCAUGAGCCUUGCCGUAAUACCUGCCGUAAUACCUGUUUAUGAAUGGAGCCUUUACUUUUGAUAUGUCAGGAGUAUCUGGGGUUUCCACAGGAUAAAACUUGUAAAACCUCAUAUUUUCAUAUGCUUUUUUGGUUUCCUCACUCAUUUCUGCCAAGGCCUUUUUUCUGGAUUCCCUCGCCUCUCGGUUAGCUUUCUUUGCUUCUCGAACUUUCUCUUUGACAAACUCCUUGAAUGCAUCUUUUUGAUCUUCAGAUAAUUCCUCCUCCUUGAUUAGAUUAUCAGUAAACUCCUCGAGCUCAUCUAACUCCCAAUCAAAUUCACAGAAAACCGGCUUUGGUUCUGCUGGAAAAAUUAUCUGAACUUCAGUGCUUUGUUCAAGCUCAUC